GGGGAGGCCAAGGCCAAGUACAGCUGGCCUUGAAGUAGUGUUUUGGAGGCCAAAACACUACUUCAUCACCAGAGGGAAGCCCAGAGCAUCACCCAGUUGGCUCUGGGGAAGCUCCUUGCUGAAGUCCAGAAUUUGAAGCAGGUCUUGAGUGAGAUCUUUGCAGUGUAUGCAAACGGCGUGGCCGAGCUGGAGGGCCAGAGCAAGCAGAUCCUGGAGAAGCUGGACGGGGCCAGGGCACUGAACAGUUGCCAUGGAGAUGACCUGCAGAGAGCUGAGGGGGAACAUCAGGGUUCACUGUAGGGUGCGUCCUGU